AGAGUUUGAUCCUGGCUCAGGAUGAACGCUAGCGGCAGGCUUAAUACAUGCAAGUUGAGGGGCAGCAUGAUAUACGCGAGUAUAUUGAUGGCGACCGGCGGACGGGUGAGUAAUAGGUAGGAGACCUACCUCAUACAGGGGGAUAGCAUAGAGAAAUCUGUGGUAAUACCCCAUGAGGUUAUAUGAAUAGAGGCAUAUAAUCAAAGCAUAAGUGAUUAUGCGGUAUGAGAGGGGCCUACUGACCAUUAGCUAGUUGGUGAGGUAAGGGCUCACCAAGGCGAAGAUGGUUAGGGGUUUUGAGAGAGAGACCCCCCACAUUGGAACUGAGAGACGGUCCAGACUCCUACGGGAGGCAGCAGUAGGGAAUAUUGGGCAAUGGGCGAAAGCCUGACCCAGCCAUGCCGCGUGAAGGAAGACGGCCUUAUGGGUUGUAAACUUCUUUACUACGCGAAUAGAGGUUAGUACGAGAUACUAAUAGGAAGGUAGUGUAGUAAGAAGCACCGGCUAACUCCGUGCCAGCAGCCGCGGUAAUACGGAGGGUGCAAGCGUUAUUCGGAAUUACUGGGUUUAAAGGGUGCGUAGGCGGUUAAAUAAGUUGUCAGUGAAAGGCUACGGCUCAACUGUAGUAGUGCUGGCGAUACUGUAUAACUAAGGACAUGGGAGGGGUACCUGGAAUGUGUGGUGUAGCGGUGAAAUGCGUAGAUAUCACACAGAACACCGGAGGCAAAGGCGGGUACUAGACCAUAGUUGACGCUGAGGCACGAAAGCGUGGGGGAUCAAACAG
rnacentral:rRNA from 1 species